rnacentral:rRNA from 1 species
AUUGAACGCUGGCGGCAGGCUUAACACAUGCAAGUCGAACGGUAACAUAAAGAAGCUUGCUUCUUUGAUGACGAGUGGCGGACGGGUGAGUAAUGCUUGGGAAUCUAGCUUAUGGAGGGGGAUAACUACGGGAAACUGUAGCUAAUACCGCGUAGAAUCGAGAGAUGAAAGUGUGGGACCUUCGGGCCACAUGCCAUAGGAUGAGCCCAAGUGGGAUUAGGUAGUUGGUGAGGUAAAGGCUCACCAAGCCGACGAUCUCUAGCUGGUCUGAGAGGAUGACCAGCCACACUGGGACUGAGACACGGCCCAGACUCCUACGGGAGGCAGCAGUGGGGAAUAUUGCGCAAUGGGGGCAACCCUGACGCAGCCAUGCCGCGUGAAUGAAGAAGGCCUUCGGGUUGUAAAGUUCUUUCGGUAGCGAGGAAGGCAUUUAGUUUAAUAGACUAGGUGAUUGACGUUAACUACAGAAGAAGCACCGGCUAACUCCGUG